GUCCUAAGGUAGCGAAAUUCCUUGUCGGGUAAGUUCCGACCUGCACGAAUGGCGUAACGAUCUCCACACUGUCUCGGCCAGAGACUCGGUGAAAUUGCAGUCGCGGUGAAAAUUCCGUGUACCCGCAGAAAGACGGAAAGACCCUGUGCACCUUUACUAUAGCUUGACAUUGGAUUUUGGGCCUGCAUGUGUAGGAUAGGUGGGAGGCUGUGAACCCUGUACGCCAGUAUGGGGGGAGCCAUCCUUGAAAUACCACCCUUGCAUGUUUAAGAUCCUAACUUCUUCCGGUUAUCCCGGAGAAAGACAGUGUCUGGCGGGUAGUUUGACUGGGGCGGUCGCCUCCUAAAGUGUAACGGAGGCAUGCAAAGGUUCCCUCAGCCUGAUCGGAAACCAGGCGCUGAGUGCAAACGCAUAAGGGAGCUUGACUGUAAGAGAGACAUCUCGAACAGGAACGAAAGUUGGCGUUAGUGAUCCGGUGGUCCCGAAUGGAAGGGCCAUCGCUCAUUGGAUAAAAGGUACGCCGGGGAUAACAGGCUGAUCGCAUCCAAGAGUUCACAUCGACGAUGCGGUUUGGCACCUCGAUGUCGGCUCAUCACAUCCUGGGGCUGAAGCAGGUCCCAAGGGUACGGCUGUUCGCCGUUUAAAGUGGUACGCGAGCUGGGUUUAAAACGUCGUGAGACAGUUUGGUCCCUAUCUUCUGUGGGCGAAGGAGAAUUGAGAGGGCCUGUCCCUAGUACGAGAGGACCGGGAUGGACGCACCCCUGGUGAUCCUGUUGUCGCGCCAGCGGCAUAGCAGGGUAGCUAUGUGCGGAAGGGAUAACCGCUGAAAGCAUCUAAGCGGGAAGCCUGCCUCAAGAUAAGUUCUCCCCUCGAAAGAGCUGAAGGGCCCGGGUAGACUACCCGGUCGAUAGGCUGGAGGUGUAAGCGCGGCGACGUGCUCAGCUGACCAGUACUAAUAGCCCGAGCGGCUUAUUUUU
rnacentral:rRNA from 1 species